rnacentral:rRNA from 1 species
AUUGAACGCUGGCGGCAGGCCUAACACAUGCAAGUCGAACGAGUGGCGGACUGGUGAGUAAUGUCUGUGAAACUGCCCGAUGGAGGGGGAUAACUACUGGAAACGGUAGCUAAUACCGCAUACCAUCGGAUGUGCCCAGCUGGGAUUAGCUAUUCGGUGGGGUAACGGCUCACCUAGGCGACGAUCCCUAGCUGGUCUGAGAGGAUGACCAGACAAACUGGAACUGAGACACGGUCCAGAAGCCGACGGGAGGCAGCAGUGGGGAAUAUUGCACAAUGGGCGCAAGUCUGAUGGAGCCAUGACGCGUGUAUGAAGAAGGCCUUCGGGUUGUAAAGUACUUUCAGCGAGGAGGCGUUACUCGCAGAAGAAGCACCGGCUAACUCCGUGCCAGCAGCCGCGGUAAUUC